GAUCCAAUCUGCCGACGUCUCAACGCCUUCGGGCCGCGAGACUGACGCAGUGCGGUGACGCAGCGGACCGGAUUCACACUCGGAGUGGCGAACGGGUGAGUAACGCGUGAAUAAUCUACCCCGGGGUGGGAGAUAACCUUACGAAAGUUUGGCUAAUCUUCCAUGUCCGUUAUUCCGCGCAAGUGGAAUAAUGAAAGGCCCUUUUGGGUCGCCCUGGGAUGAGUUCGCGUCCCAUUAGCUUGUUGGUGAGGUAAAUGCUCACCAAGGUGACGAUGGGUAGCUGGUCUAAGAAGAUGAUCAGUCACACUGGGACUGAGACACGGCCCAGACUCCUACGGGAGGCUGCAGUGGGGAAUCUUGCACAAUGAGCGCAAGCUUGAUGCAGCGACGCCGCGUGGGGGACUUGAAGGGCCUCGGGUUGUAAACCCCUACCAGCAGAGAGGAAGAAGGACAUCAGGUAAUGGGUGUCCGGUGACGUUAUCUGCUGUAUUAGCUCCGGCUAACUACGUGCCAGCAGCCGCGGUAAUACGUAGGGAGCAAGCGUUAUCCGGAAUCACUGGGUGUAAAGGGUGUGCAGGCGGGCUCGCAAGUCUGAUGUGAAAUCCCCGGGGGCUUACCUGGGAUUGCAUCGGAAACUGUGGGUCUUGAGGACCGGAGAAGAAGGCAGAAUUCGUGGUGUAGCGGUGAAAUGCGUAGAUAUCACGAGGAAUACCCGUGGCGAAAGCGGCCUUCUGGACGGUUCCUGACGCUCAGGCACGAAAGCGUGGGUAGCCAACGGGAUUAGAUACCCCGGUAGUCCACGCCUUAAACACUGGGCACUAGGUGUUGGCGAUACAACUCGUCAGUGCCGUAGUUAACGCAUUAAGUGCCCCACCUGGGAAUUACGUCCGCAAGGAUGAAACUCAAAGGAAUUGACGGGGGCCCGCACAAGCGGUGGAGCACGUGGUUUAAUUAGAUGAAAAGCUCCGAACCUUACCAGGCCUUGACAUGCAAGUAGUAGGCUGGCUGAAAGGCCGGACGACCCCUGUUUAUCAGGGGAGCUUGCACAGGUGCUGCAUGGUUGUCGUCAGCUCGUGCCGUGAGGUGUUGGGUUAAGUCCCGCAACGAGCGAAACCCCUGCCCUUAGUUGCCAGCAUUAAGUUGGGGACUCUAAGGGAACUGCCGGCGAAAAGCCGGAGGAAGGUGGGGACGACGUCAAGUCCUUAUGGCCCUUAUGGCCUGGGCUACACACGUGCUACAAUGGACGGUCCAACAGGUAGCCACACCGCGAGGUGGAGCGAAUCCUUCAACGCCGUUCAAAGUUCGGAUUGCAGUCUGCAACUCGACUGCAUGAAGUCGGAAUCGCUAGUAAUCGUGGAUCAGCAAUGCCACGGUGAAUACGUUCUCGGGCCUUGUACACACCGCCCGUCACACCACAAAAGUCGGCAACACCCAAAGUCGGUGACCCGCGAGGGAGCCGCCUAAGGUGGGGCCGGUGAUUGGGGUG
rnacentral:rRNA from 1 species